CCUACGGGUGGCUGCAGCAAGGAAUCUUCCGCAAUGGGCGCAAGCCUGACGGAGCAACGCCGCGUGCGGGAUGACGCCCUUCGGGGUGUAAACCGCUUUUCGGGGGGAAGAAAGGGCGCCCGCAAGGGCGGCUGUGACGGUACCCCCGGAAGAAGGCCCGGCUAACUACGUGCCAGCAGCCGCGGUAAUACGUAGGGGCCGAGCGUUGUCCGGAGUUACUGGGCGUAAAGCGCACGCAGGCGGCGGCGCUGGCCCGGCGUGAAAGCCCCCGGCUC
rnacentral:rRNA from 1 species